UACGAAGGGGGCUAGCGUUGUUCGGAAUCACUGGGCGUAAAGGGCGCGUAGGCGGCUUUAUAAGUCGGGGGUGAAAGCCUGUGGCUCAACCACAGAAUUGCCUUCGAUACUGUAGAGCUUGAGACCGGAAGAGGUAAGUGGAACUGCGAGUGUAGAGGUGAAAUUCGUAGAUAUUCGCAAGAACACCAGUGGCGAAGGCGGCGACCUGGGUAGAUACUGACGCUGAGGCGCGAAAGCGUGGGGAGCAAACAGG
rnacentral:rRNA from 1 species